ACUCCUACGGGAGGCAGCAGUGGGGAAUAUUGCACAAUGGGCGCAAGCCUGAUGCAGCCAUGCCGCGUGUGUGAAGAAGGCCUUCGGGUUGUAAAGCACUUUUCAGUUGUGAGGAAGGUGGUGUCGUUAAUAGCGGCAUCAUUUGACGUUAGCAACAGAAGAAGCACCGGCUAACUCCGUGCCAGCAGCCGCGGUAAUACGGAGGGUGCGAGCGUUAAUCGGAAUUACUGGGCGUAAAGCGCAUGCAGGUGGUUUGUUAAGUCAGAUGUGAAAGCCCGGGGCUCAACCUCGGAACUGCAUUGAAACUGGCAGACUAGAGUACUGUAGAGGGGGGUAGAAUUUCAGGUGUAGCGGUGAAAUGCGUAGAGAUCUAGAAGGAAUACCGGUGGCGAAGGCGGCCCCCUGGACAGAUACUGACACUCAGAUGCG
rnacentral:rRNA from 1 species